rnacentral:rRNA from 1 species
UACAGAGGAUGCGAGCGUUAUCCGGAAUGAUUGGGCGUAAAGCGUCUGUAGGUGGCUUUUUAAGUCCGCCGUCAAAUCCCAGGGCUCAACUCUGGACAGGCGGUGGAAACUACCAAGCUGGAGUACGGUAGGGGCAGAGGGAAUUUCCGGUGGAGCGGUGAAAUGCGCAGAUAUCAGGAGGAACACCGGUGGCGAAGGCGGGUCUCUGGGCCGAUACUGACGCUGAGGAGCGAAAGCGUGGGGAGCGAACAGG